CCCUAGCCCUGAUAGGAAUGGUUACCCCACAGCUUGCGGAAGAAGGCUGCUGGAUUUGAGGAUGGAGAACGAUGGCGCGAGGAGUAAGAAUGGAUAGCAGGAUACAGC
rnacentral:misc_RNA from 1 species